rnacentral:tRNA from 1 species
GGGCUGGGGCUCAGUGGCAGAGCGCUUGCCUAGCACGUGAGAGGCCCUGGGUUCGAUCCUCAGCACCACA